rnacentral:rRNA from 1 species
GAUGAACGCUGGCGGCGUGCCUAAUACAUGCAAGUCGAGCGAAUGGAUUAAGAGCUUGCUCUUAUGAAGUUAGCGGCGGACGGGUGAGUAACACGUGGGAAACCUGCCCAUAAGACUGGGAUAACUCCGGGAAACCGGGGCUAAUACCGGAUAACAUUUUGAACCGCAUGGUUCGAAAUUGAAAGGCGGCUUCGGCUGUCACUUAUGGAUGGACCCGCGUCCAAUUAGCUAGUUGGUGAGGUAACGGCUCACCAAGGCAACGAUGCUUAGCCGCCCUGAGAGGGUGAUCGGCCACACUGGGACUGAGACACGGCCCAGACUCCUACGGGAGGCAGCAGUAGGGAAUCUUCCGCAAUGGACGAAAGUCUGACGGAGCAACGCCGCGUGAGUGAUGAAGGCUUUCGGGUCGUAAAACUCUGUUGUUAGGGAAGAACAAGUGCUAGUUGAAUAAGCUGGCACCUUGACGGUACCUAACCAGAAAGCCACGGCUAACUACGUGCCAGCAGCCGCCGUAA